GCAAAUGUAAACAAAGUCAUCCACCAACAAGUUCCCGUGCUAAAUCACUUUUAACGCCAUUCAUCAGAACGAUGGAACAGGACUUUCUUUAAAAAAUUAUGGGAGACGGAGACGUAACCAUGAAACACCAUAGGUCCAGGACGUCCUGUCUUUAUAACUAUUUAUUAUUUAUAUCUUGGUUAUAUAACAAUCACAAUUGGAAAACCCUUCCUCUUAAGGCAACUCUUCCAAAGACAAAGGUCAGAAACUCUUUUUCCUAGUUGAAUAAACUUGUUGUCACAGCAACCAAGCUCUACAAACCUUGAACAAAGAUCAGCCAUAUCUGGAUGGUCCACGACAGUAGAUACUAAAACGCCUUCAGGGAACGCCGUCAUAAUUUUAAAUGUCAAUCGCCUGUACUGUAUCACCAAAGCUCUGAGGCUUGUUCUCCUUCUUAGAUAUUUUGCUAUUACUACCUCUUUCACACAGGGUGUAUGUGCGGAAGGGAGGGGUCGAGGGGGGCUGCCUCUAAAUCCCGGCAUGUGGGCAGCAUGUGAUUGAAUGGACUGUACAAAGCCCACUAAGCAGUGUUGCAAUUCCUCUUGAGAGCUUUCAUUAUGGAACAACAUAUUGGAUUCUCUUCACAGGCUAUUCGUCUCCAGAGGCUACGAUCUCUUCAGGAGUUCACACACAAACAGACACACCACACACACGCGCGCGCGAACCUACAGGAAACACCAUACAGGAAACCAUGCCAACAGCUUAGUAAUAAACACUGAUUCGGAAUGGAUCUGAUUUCCUACGGUGCUGACGUGAAAUGUUCUCAAUGUUGGUCCUGCCAGUAAUUUACACAGCAUCACUUGUGCGGUUUCUCCAAAGAUCAGUACACACAAGUAAACACACACACACACGCAUAUCUACAGAAUGGAUUUAAACCCUGUCACACAGGUUAAAUUAUCACACAGUAUAGAACAGAGGGCAGGGCCGAGUUGAGGGACAUAAAAUCUAUACCACACUGUGAAACGGUCAGAGCAGAGGUGAUGCUACUGCAAGCCUUACUUCAUUAAUUCAAUUUAAAAGCUAAUUUUGUUGCUGACUUAUUUUGUGAACUUAAAAUAAAAAUGAAGAACCUGCAGACCAUGACUGACGAAUAAGCACAACAGCUUGACCUUCUGACCUUUCAGGACAAGGCAACCCAAUUGGAAUAAUUACAAUAAUAAGUUCCUUAUUUUUUAUGGUCAUCGCUGUUUUGUUUUUUGUUUUUUUGCCUUCCAGUCCUCGGCAUCAAACCCGACUAUUAGAAACAGAUAAGAACCAUCUUUACAACUUCAGCUAAAAUCAUCCGAUGUAACUUCUCACCCCACAUCCAGCUGUAAAAUACCUACAUUUCUAGUGUAGUAAUUCAGUACAAUUUUGUAAGCAGCACUAGACAAAUAAUGUCUACGUGAAAAGAAAAUGCUACCAUUUUUUAAUUUAAUUUUCUUUUUUUUGUAGGAGUCUUGGCAUCGUCUUUCCUUUUCCUGAACAAACCUGAGGCCUUAACAACAGCACAAAGCCCAAGGAAACUGAGGUUCACGAGGGUCUGGUGCGGUGCAGUGUGAUUUGGUUGGAGGUCGUGGAGAAUGCUGCCCCGUGACCCGGUAACGGAUAAGCGGACGAAGGUGGAUGGAAGUUCUGCAUGUACACACCUGUGUGAGCAGGUCGAAGGUCCGUCCCUGGAGAGUUUGGGAAAAGAAGAAAGUGGAACAAACUUUAUCAACAUCAGCUGAAAACAUCUUUUUUUACUUAGACAGGAGCCUACAUAAUUGUGUCUGGCAGUGGUGUGACUGGCAGCGAUGACCCUCGCUCUGUCAUUGCUCUCCUGUGAACUGCGGUGGCCGAAGCCAUCCGGAAAC